CACGUAGGGUGCGAGCGUUGUCCGGAAUUAUUGGGCGUAAAGAGCUCGUAGGCGGUGUGUCGCGUCGGCCGUGAAAACCUGCAGCUUAACUGUGGGCUUGCGGUCGAUACGGGCAUCACUGGAGUUCGGCAGGGGAGACUGGAAUUCCUGGUGUAGCGGUGAAAUGCGCAGAUAUCAGGAGGAACACCGGUGGCGGAGGCGGGUCUCUGGGCCGAUACUGACGCUGAGGAGCGAAAGCGUGGGGAGCGAACAGG
rnacentral:rRNA from 1 species